GCUGCAUUAUUGAUGGAGUCCAGCCGGGAGGAUGAAGGAGGGGGGGAGAGGGGAGAGGGACAGCGGGAAGUCAGGGACUCGGGCUUUAACCACUCAGUGGCCCUGGUACUUGGAGUUUCAUGGAAGGAGCUGGCAUUUCCCUCUUCAGGGCUGUUCACCAGGGUGGGACUCUCUGUAGCGACCAAAAGGUGUGUGUGUGCAUAGGCGUAUGUCUUCCUGGGGCUCUGUUUGUGUUGGCUGUCUUCUCUCCUGGUCACUCUUGGGCCUGGAACAGCCAGGAUUCCUCCCUAGCCUCCAACUCCACAGCAACUUUUCCAUUCCCAGCC
rnacentral:lncRNA from 1 species